rnacentral:misc_RNA from 1 species
AACGCACAUUGCGCCCGCUAGUACUCUAGCGGGCAUGCCUGUUCGAGCGUCAUUUCAACCCUCAAGCCCUGCUUGGUGUUGGGGCCCUACAGCUGCCGUAGGCCCUGAAAGACAGUGGCGGGCUCGCUAUAACUCCGAGCGUAGUAACACAUCUCGCUGAGGGCGUUUUAGUGGGAUCCGGCCUUCUAUAAUACUUCAAUGGUUGACCUCGGAUCAGGUAGGAAUACCCGCUGAACUUAA